rnacentral:rRNA from 1 species
AUUGAACGCUAGCGGGAGGCUUAACACAUGCAAGUCGAACGAGUGGCGGACGGGUGAGUAAUGUAUCGGAACCUGCCUGAUGGCGGGGGAUAACUACUGGAAAGGGUAGCUAAUACCGCAUACUAUUGGAUCGGCCGAGAUGGGAUUAGCUAGUUGGUGGGGUAACGGCUCACCAAGGCGACGAUCCCUAGCUGGUCUGAGAGGAUGACCAGCCACACUGGAACUGAGACACGGUCCAGACUCCUACGGGAGGCAGCAGUGGGGAAUUUUGGACAAGGGGCGAAAGCCUGAUGCAGCCAUGCCGCGUGUAUGAAGAAGGCCUUCGGGUUGUAAAGUACUUUCAGCGGGGAGGCGGUACCCGCAGAAGAAGCACCGGCUAACUCCGUGCCAGCAGCCGCGGUAAUUC